UACAGAGGUCCCAAGCGUUGUUCGGAUUCAUUGGGCGUAAAGGGUGCGUAGGCGGUGGGGUAAGUUGGAUGUGAAAUCUUGGGGCUUAACCUCAAAAUUGCAUUCAAUACUGCUCUGCUCGAGUUCUGUAGAGGAGAUUGGAAUUUACGGUGUAGCAGUGAAAUGCGUAGAUAUCGUAAGGAACGCCAGUGGCGAAAGCGAAUCUCUGGGCAGCAACUGACGCUGAGGCACGAAAGCGUGGGGAGCAAACAGG
rnacentral:rRNA from 1 species